GGGGAGAGCGGCGAGAAGCUGGGUUGUAGUGGGAACUGGGGUUUGGCAGGGUUGGGGGGCUGGGGUGUCCCCUCCCUCUGGUCCCCGCCCGCGGCCGCUGCCCACGAGUCGUCCAUAAAAGGCAAGGAGCUCAGGUCGCGCCAAACUUAGUCAUGCGGCGGCGGCCCGCGGCUGCCCGCGCGACUUCCUCCGUCGACUUCCCGUUUCGAGAGCGGAGCCCGCAGGGGAUGCGAGGUGUGGUCCUGCCUUUCGAAAUGGCCCCGAUUCCACUAAGAGGACCGGCGAUGCCCGGCCCCCCGUCCUGCAGAGGGGACCGCGGAGGGCCCGCAGGCACACACCGGCGCUUGUGUUUAAAGUGGGGGAUGGGAGUUCUCACUUUGUAUAGCCCAGGCUAGCCUGCCUCGGCUUCAGAGUGCUGGGAUCACAAGAGUGAGCCAUUACUCUGGGCUUAGGAAUGCAUGAAGGGUUUCCAGGAGGCGCAGCUGUUACUCUGGAGCGGGAAGGAAGCUUGGAUAGGAAGGUUGAGAACCCUGGGCCUUAGCGGCUGUCAUGAAACUAUGACGCGAAGGCUGAAGCAUGAGUCCCACGUACACAGUGCACCAGACACAGAACACGGGUAGCAUGAAGGUCUUGUGGUGGCAGCUGGCUUUGGAUGCCAAUCUGGAGAGGACGGUAGGGGACAUGGCGGGGUUGGCUUCCAAGGACAUUGACAAAGCAUGUACUGGUGGACCAGCUUGCGGCCUAAUGUACUGAAAGCUACUUAUUAUUCCCACAGUUGCAUCUGUGGGCCCUCAGAAGUGACUCUGUAGAUUUCCUGGGAGCUGCUGGGCAGAGAGAGGGGAGAGGAGUCCAGCCUCAGAUGCUUCCUCCCAGCUCUGAUAUGACCACCCUCCCUCCAGGCCUCUGCAGACACCACUGACAGUGCAGGGGGAUGCCACAGGAGACCCUAGAGUGGGAGAGGAGAACUCCUCGAGAAGGUUGGGGAUUCUACUCUGUCCUCGGAGAACUCCCAUCUCUGACCUUGGUAUAGGACUGGGGUCUGACUCUGGUUUCAAUCUGAGCCCAGGCAGAGGUCUGGGAGAGCAAGGAGUUCCCUUAUUGAUUCUACUCUCUCCCUGCAUAUAAAAGCAGCCAUUGGACAGAGAGGUGAAAUGGGUCCUUUGUCAUCAGGUAUUAGGAGCAUCGAGGGUAUUUGUAAGCCCAGGCUGGGGCGAGGCAUGCCGUAAGAUUUAAGAGCACUGGGCUAGGGUAGAGGUGCCAGCUGUUCUUCAUCCAGCCUCAGUUCGCACACAUGAGCACAACGACGUUAAGAAUGAUUCUUGUUGGGGUUGGGGAUUUAGCUCAGUGGUAGAGUGCUUGCCUAGUAAGUGCAAGGCCCUGGGUUCGGUCCUCAGCUCCAAAAAAAGAAUAACUUUGUGUGCCACUUGGAAAUAAAUGCACGCUCCCGAAUCCAACUUGUCCUUCUUAGAAAAUAUGUCCACCAUUGCUAGGAGGACAGUUACAGGCUGGGCUCAGACCGGAGAGCAAAGACGGCCCCACCCUUGAAUUCCAAGUAGUUCAGACCUAGCAUCACCACUCCUGGAUAAGCUGCUAUGUUCGUGAUAGCCGCCAGGUGGCGAUAGAGACGCGCCGAGCGGCUCAGGCUGGGCGGGGCCGUACCUGCGUGUACGGAGGACUCCAGGGGAGACGCCCACAAUCCUAUUUGGGAAGAGAAAAUCUGAGUUCUAAGAGGCAAAAUAUCCCGGCCUGGCGGCGAAGGCCUCUAAUCCUAACGCUUAGGAGGCAGAGGCAGGCCGAUCUCUAUGAGUUUGAGGCCAGCCUAGUCUACAUAGUGAGUUCUGAGACAGCCAGGGCUAUGUAGAUAUGUAAAGAGAUUCUGUCUAGAUGGCCUGAGUUUGAUCCUUGGUAUGCACACGAAAAACUGGAUUCAGGGCCAUGCAUCUAUAACCCCAGAACGCCUACAGCAAAGCGAGAGAAAGAGGCCCGAGAGUCUUCAGAAAACUUGCUGGCUCAUCGGCCAGCUAGCCUGGAGUAGGGGAAGAGCAGCCCCAGAAAUGAGAUACAGAAAAGGGUCAUGUGCUGGGUGUGUCGGUGUUGUGGCACAUGCCUUGACACUGGCAGAUAGAAGGCAGGGGCCAGCAGUCUCUACGGGGCACCAGGAGUCCAACUUUUCAUAUGAGUACUGGGCACCUAAAUCAAGUUCCCAUAUACUUUAUCUA